AACGAACGCUGGCGGCAUGCCUAACACAUGCAAGUCGAACGAGACCUUCGGGUCUAGUGGCGCACGGGUGCGUAACGCGUGGGAACCUGCCCUUAGGUUCGGAAUAACUCCCCGAAAGGGGUGCUAAUACCGGAUAAUGUCUUCGGACCAAAGAUUUAUCGCCUUUGGAUGGGCCCGCGUUGGAUUAGCUAGUUGGUAGGGUAAAAGCCUACCAAGGCGACGAUCCAUAGCUGGUCUGAGAGGAUGAUCAGCCACACUGGGACUGAGACACGGCCCAGACCCCCCCGGGGGGGAGGAGGGGGGAAUAUGGGACAAGGGGCGAAAGCCUGAUCCAGCAAGGCCGGGGGAGUGAUGAAGGCUUUAGGUUUGUAAAGCUCUUUUCCCCGGGAUGAUAAUGAAAGUACCGGGAGAAUAAGCCCCGGCUAACCCCGU
rnacentral:rRNA from 1 species